GACGGACGCUGGCGGCGUGCCUAAUACAUGCAAGUCGAACGAGAGCGACCGGUGCUUGCACUGGUCAAUCUAGUGGCGAACGGGUGAGUAACACGUGGGUAACCUGCCCAUCAGAGGGGGAUAACAUCCGGAAACGGAUGCUAAAACCGCAUAGGUCUUCGAACCGCAUGGUUUGAAGAGGAAAAGAGGCGCAAGCUUCUGCUGAUGGAUGGACCCGCGGUGCAUUAGCUAGUUGGUGAGGUAACGGCUCACCAAGGCCGUGAUGCAUAGCCGACCUGAGAGGGUGAUCGGCCACAUUGGGACUGAGACACGGCCCAAACUCCUACGGGAGGCAGCAGUAGGGAAUCUUCCGCAAUGGACGCAAGUCUGACGGAGCAACGCCGCGUGAGUGAAGAAGGUUUUCGGAUCGUAAAACUCUGUUGUUAGAGAAGAACAAGUGCUAGAGUAACUGUUAGCGCCUUGACGGUAUCUAACCAGAAAGCCACGGCUAACUACGUG
rnacentral:rRNA from 1 species